rnacentral:lncRNA from 1 species
AACGUGGCUGGGAUAAGAGCAGAAGCAGCAUCGCGGAACGAGAAAAUACGUGGCCUAAAAAUGUUGCUCGGAAAUGCCCCUAGUUCUGGGAAGUCCAAGGAGGACCAGCAGUCAAAGGGAGGAAGAGGCAGAUGAAGAUGGCAUCAGAGCUGGUGACGAUAGCUGCAGAUUGACAGCAAGCUCACCAAUAAUGAAGAAGGAGAGAGAGAAGGCCCUGUCACGGUCAUUGGAGAACCAGUACAUGUCAUCAUCUGUGGCAAUAGGCUUUGCUCGUGAAAGUUUCAGGAUCCCAAGGCUUUGACUUUCCGACAGUGUCGUGGCCUUUCCAAUGCAACCUGUGUCUACAGACGAGUGCGAUGUGAAAUCGUCUCCUGGCUUCUUACAUUGACAGAGAAGGGCAAAGUGCCGUUAAUGCAUUAAGCUGGGCUAGAUUGUAGUGUUGUCAAGUCUCUUUCUGUGUCAUCCUUUGUGCGUGUUCGCUAGCAAUAUGGAGGCAUACAAACUGCUGAUUCUGCGAGCAAAAACGUGGUUGCUUGAUGAGGUUGCUUGGAGGAAAUAUUUUCCUAACAAAUGUGAGUCGCAGUCUCACAUUCACCAAUA